GAUGAACGCUGGCGGCGUGCCUAAUACAUGCAAGUAGAACGCUGAAGGAAGGAGCUUGCUCUUUCCGGAUGAGUUGCGAACGGGUGAGUAACGCGUAGGUAACCUGCCUGGUAGCGGGGGAUAACUAUUGGAAACGAUAGCUAAUACCGCAUAACAGUAGAUGUUGCAUGAUAUCUACUUAAAAGGUGCAAUUGCACCACUACCAGAUGGACCUGCGUUGUACUAGCUAGUUGGUGAGGUAACGGCUCACCAAGGCGACGAUACAUAGCCGACCUGAGAGGGUGAUCGGCCACACUGGGACUGAGACACGGCCCAGACUCCUACGGGAGGCAGCAGUAGGGAAUCUUCGGCAAUGGACGGAAGUCUGACCGAGCAACGCCGCGUGAGUGAAGAAGGUUUUCGGAUCGUAAAGCUCUGUUGUAAGAGAAGAACGAGUGUGAGAGUGGAAAGUUCACACUGUGACGGUAGCUUACCAGAAAGGGACGGCUAACUACGUG
rnacentral:rRNA from 1 species